AUGGAUCCCUCUGAUGAUGCUUUUGUAUCACUGUGGUGGACGUUUGGUGGAGGAACCAGACUGGAUGUUGGAAGUGAUGCCCGUCCCACCCUGACGGUGCUGCCCCCCUCCAGUGAGGAGCUGCAGCAGGGGAAGGCCACGCUCAUGUGCCUGGCCAACAAGGGCUUCCCCUCAGACUGGAGUCUGGCCUGGAAGGUGGACGGCAGCAGCAGCAGCAGCAGCAGCAGCUGGGAGGAGAGCAGGAGCCCCGGGGUGCUGGAGAAGGACGGCCACUACAGCUGGAGCAGCACCCUGAGGCUCACUGCAGACCAGUGGAGGAAGGUGGGCUCUGUGACCUGUGAGGCCACCCAGGGCUCCCAGGCUCUGCUCUCAGAGACACUGAGGAGAGACCAGUGUUCCCAGUCCUGACCUGACUCACUGGGACUCUGCUGCUGGUUUCACUCUGCUACCGCUCUCACUCUGCACUCUGUAACCAUCUCUGUCUUUUAUUUGACAUGGUUCAAUAACAAUAUUUACCAGCUUGUUGCAAUGUUUCAAUAUUAGUUCAGUGUUUCCAGAUAAUAAAGACGUGUUCAUCAAA